rnacentral:lncRNA from 1 species
GCUCAGACAACAAGUAGCAAAAGAAACACUGACCACUCACAGGCUGGGUAAUUGCAUUCGUUGCUUCUUUUUAUUUCUUGCUCGUCUCCUAGAAAAGAACAACUCUGACUUUGACUUCAUCCUUUCAUUGCAUUAACAUUGACGGGGGACAUGGUCAUUGUCAGGGCUAUGACUUUGCCUGGUGCUCCAUAUACAUUGUUAUCUCAUUCUGUUCUCAUAGCAAUUCUAUAAGUGCUGAAAAAAAUGCAUUGUCCAUACUAAUGACAACCCACUGUGUACCUCCUCCCAUGCUCUCCAGCGGUGCAGCUUGUGGUGGUCAGUUGCCUGUUUUUCCUCGCUGUGAACGCUUUUAAUUAAAAGGAAGGGAUUCAGAACCUGCGGAUGUGGAGGGCCAGAGGGCUGAAUUUGCAAGUUGGGCAAUGGGGAAAGCCUUCACAAAGGAGAAAGCCUUUGGGCUGGAAUUGGAGGAGUAGGAGUCAAUAGAGAGAGAAGAGAGUAAAGGGCAAGGCCAUCAUUCCAGGUUUAGGGAGCAAGUACAAAGACACAGAGAAAUGAAAAGGCUUGGCCUGUUUGGAGAAUGUCAAGCUGUCUGGGGUUGAGAGAAAGACAUUCUAACAAGGCUUCCAUUAAAGAGGCUAGAUUUGCUGCUUGGACAUUUUCUAGCUCUUCUGAGACAACUUUUUGUUGAGUUAAGCGAAAAUGAAUGAAAAUCAGAUGGACCAUAUUUCUCUUGAAUGCACACGGGCUUAAAAACGAAGGGGAAAAAGAACUUGACAGAAUGUGUCUUGGCUUUUGCCAAACCCAAAGUAUUUGAAAAAUCACACAGUACACAUCUCGAACCCAAAAACAUGCCUGGAUUCUACCACCCCUAACUGCAGCUGCAGCCAUUUAAUAAAAUGAAUUGUG